CGUAGGGUGCAAGCGUUAAUCGGAAUUACUGGGCGUAAAGCGUGCGCAGGCGGUUUUAUAAGUCUGAUGUGAAAUCCCCGGGCUCAACCUGGGAACUGCAUUGGAGACUGUAAGGCUAGAGUGUGUCAGAGGGGGGGUAGAAUUCCACGUGUAGCAGUGAAAUGCGUAGAUAUGUGGAGGAAUACCGAUGGCGAAGGCAGCCCCCUGGGAUAACACUGACGCUCAUGCACGAAAGCGUGGGGAGCAAACAGGAUUAGAUACCCUGGUAGUCCACGCCCUAAACGAUGUCUACUAGUUGUCGGGUCUUAAUUGACUUGGUAACGCAGCUAACGCGUGAAGUAGACCGCCUGGGGAGUACGGUCGCAAGAUUA
rnacentral:rRNA from 1 species